rnacentral:rRNA from 1 species
AGCGAACGCUGGCGGCAGGCCUAACACAUGCAAGUCGAACGAAGUCUUCGGACUUAGUGGCGGACGGGUGAGUAACACGUGGGAACGUGCCUUUAGGUUCGGAAUAACUCAGGGAAACUUGUGCUAAUACCGAAUGUGCCCUUCGGGGGAAAGAUUUAUCGCCUUUAGAGCGGCCCGGGUCUGAUUAGCUAGUUGGUGAGGUAAAGGCUCACCAAGGCGACGAUCAGUAGCUGGUCUGAGAGGAUGAUCAGCCACAUUGGGACUGAGACACGGCCCAAACUCCUACGGGAGGCAGCAGUGGGGAAUCUUGCGCAAUGGGCGAAAGCCUGACGCAGCCAUGCCGCGUGAAUGAUGAAGGUCUUAGGAUUGUAAAAUUCUUUCACCGGGGACGAUAAUGACGGUACCCAGAGAAGAAGCCCCGGCUAACUUCGUGCCAGCAGCCGCCGUAA